rnacentral:rRNA from 1 species
GCAACGAUGCGUAGCCGACCUGAGAGGGUGAUCGGCCACACUGGAACUGAGACACGGUCCAGACUCCUACGGGAGGCAGCAGUAGGGAAUCUUCCGCAAUGGGCGAAAGCCUGACGGAGCACCGCCGCGUGAGUGAUGAAGGUCUUCGGAUCGUAAAACUCUGUUCUUAGGGAAGAACAAAUGUGUAAGUAACUAUGCAC